CGGCGAGGUCUGCUUAGUCUGGCCAGCCAAACCCAGCCACACCGACCAGCUGUGGCCGACUCAGCAUGGGGGCCGGCGCCUGUCGGAGCCACACAGCGGACACCUGCAGGUUCCUCAGGGAGAAGGGAACUUGCCUGGGCGCAUGCUUAGGCAGUGACGGAAUGCAGCAUCCCCUGCCUCGCCCCCAGCAGUCCUGAUGGCCUCGUAUUGACUGUCGCUCCUGAAGGCAGGGGCUGUGAUCAGAAUGCACCACAAUCAAGCCAAAGCCUGGUUGCGGUUAGGAAACGUGGGUUCAUAGUGCAAGGAAAGAUGGGAGCAGUGUCUAAGCGCCAAGACCCCACCCCAGGCUGCCGGCCCGGAUUCUGGC